AAGAUUAGUAAAUACCAUGGUGUUUAGAUUAUGGUUUGCAGGAUUUGUCUCAAAUGCUGAGUUUUCUUAUUCCAGCAAUUUCCUACUCAGUCACCUUUCUUUUCUAAAGGUAAGUAAUAUACUAAAUGCUAAUAUUAGCUCUGUACUGCACAGGACGUUGUUAGGACAUGCAAUAGCGGUCAACCAACAAAGAAGUUAAGAGUGACCUCGGAGCCUGCCUUACUUCCUGUGAACUCACCACUAAGGGUGUAAAAUACUCUACUGUUUGCCUGUGAGUAGCCCAAUUUUAGUGUUGAAAUGGCUAUGAGGAAUUGAGUACACUAAAGAUUUGAUGGACCAAAUCAUGGAAUUUAUUUGGGGCCAGAGAAUCAUGUGAACAUCAUGCAUGUUGAUUAUAGAUUCCCCAGGUUAUCCAUCUCUUCUGGCCUCCACUACAGAUUUGUGUGAUAUUUUAGAUCUCAGUGACCUUUGAGGAUGUGGCUGUGAACUUCACCCAGGAGGAAUGGACUUUGCUGGAUCUAUCCCAGAAGAAUCUUUACAGAGAUGUGAUGCUGGAAGUCCUCAGAAACCUGAUUUCUAUAGGUAUUAGUGAUGUUUCUUUAUUUAGUCAAAUAGAGAACCAGUGUCAUUUAUGUAGAAUGUGAAAAGGGAAUCCUUUGAUGAAUUAUUGCAACAUAAAAUGCAUGUAGACUGUGGCAAAGUUUUUCUAGCCAAUAAGUAAUACAUAAUGAUUGUUCUGUGUUGCCAUUUUAGGAAACACAUGGGAAGACAAGAACAUUGAAGUUCAGAUUGAAAAUUCUGGGAGUAGUCUAAGAUAAUUGUACUCACCAGAGGGAGCAAUGUCCUUGAGGAAAUCUUACAAUGUCAUCUGAUUUUUAAAACCAACCAAAGAAAUAUGUACAAUGUUAAAUGUGUUUAUUUUUAUAAAUUUUUUUUACCAUAUAUAUAUAUAUAUAUAUAUAUAUAUAUAUAUAUAUAUAUAUUUGCAUGUAACAUAGAUAGAUAUUCAGUCUUUUCAAAGUAGUCGACAUGAAAAAAAAUACUAUGAAAUUGCAUAUGUGCAUAUCACUGUUUGGAUAAAAGCUAUAGGGAAACUGUGUUGGUAAGGAUUGUUUUCUUUCAAUCUUUAUUUUCAGGCAAUUUGAACAAGUCAGAAAACCUACUGUUUAACUGCAUUGGUGGUAAUAUAAGCCUAUUAAUGAAUAGAAAAUCAUUAAUAAAUCAAGCAUUGAUAAUGUGCUGGUCAUUUUUAUAGAAGUCAUGGUUAAAUUAACCUGACAAAGAAAAAAUUUAAUAGAGUAAAUCCAUGUUACUGCAUUAUGUAUUCAAAAGACUUCGUAUGUCCUUUAUUCUUUCACAGGCAGAUCACAUCUCACUCUGGACAGAAACCCUACAUGCAUGUGGAAUGUGAAGAGAAGCCAUGUGAAUUUAAACAAUAUGAGAAAUCUCUGGUUUCUCUAAGAAGUGCUCAAACACAAAGGUUGAUACAAACUGUAAAUGGACCUUAUAAAAAUACAGCAUGUGGGAAAGUCUUCAGUUGUCCCAAUUCCAUUCAAAUGCAUGAAGAAACCCAUACUGGGCAGAAACCCUAUGAAAGUACACAAUGUGGUGAAGCCUUUUCUUCUUUCACAGAUGUUCAGAGACAACUGAUAGCACCCAGUGGCCAUAAACAUUUUAGGUGUAGAGAAGUGCCAUGAAUAUAUACAUUGUGAGAAAGGCUUCAAAUAUUCCAGAUCUUUUAAAUGCCAUGAAGUAACUCAUACUGAAGAGAAGCCCUAUAAAUGUAAGCAAUGUGGGAAAGCCUUCAGUAAUCCCAGUUCAUGUAAAAGACAUCAAAUAACUCAUACAGAAGAGAAGCACUAUGAAUGUAAACAGUGUGGAAAAGCCUUCUCAAAUUCCUCUUCCCUUCAUAUACAUAAACAAACUCAUGCUGGGGAGAAGUCCUAUGAAUGUAAGCAGUGUGGCAAAGCCUUUACUCGGUCCUCUCACCUUCACUCUCAUGAACAAUCUCACACUAAAGAGAAGCACUAUGAAUGUCAACAAUGUGGAAAAGCCUUUGCUACAUCCAGUGGCCUUCACAAACAUGGAAAAAUUCAUACUGGAGAGAAGCCCUACGAAUGUCCACAAUGUGGAAAAGCCUUCACUAUUCCCUCUUACCUCCAAGUACAUGAACAAACUCAUACUGGAGAGAAGCCCUAUAAAUGUAAGCAGUGUGGCAAAGCCUUCACUCGUUCCUCUUACCUUCGAGUACAUGGAAGAACUCAUACUGGAGAGAAGCCCUAUGAAUGUAAGCAGUGUGGCAAAGCAUUCACUUGCUCUUCUUACCUCCAAGUACAUGAACGAAUUCAUACUGGAGAGAAGCCCUAUAAAUGUAAGCAGUGUGGCAAAGCCUUCACUCACUCCUCUAACCUUCACUCACAUGAACGAACUCAUACUGGAGAGAAGCCCUAUGAAUGUCAACAAUGUGAAAAAGCCUUUGCUACAGCCCAUCAACUUCACAGACAUGGAAGAAUGCAUACUGGGGAGAAGCAAUGUGGAAAAGCCUUUACUACAUCAUGUCAUCUUCACAUACAUGGAAGAACUCAUACUGGAGAAAAGCCUAUAAACAUAAACAACGUGGAAAAGACUUUGCUUCAUCCACUCAGCUUCACUCACAUGAACAAACUCAUACUGGAGAGAAAUCCUACUAAUGAAAACAAUGGGAAAAGUCUUCUGUUAUUACCAUUUCACUCAUAAACAUGUAGUAAGUUUACU
rnacentral:lncRNA from 1 species